AGAGUUUGAUCCUGGCUCGGACGAACGCUGGCGGCGUGCUUAACACAUGCAAGUCGAACGGUAAGGCCCCUUCGGGGGUACACGAGUGGCGAACGGGUGAGUAACACGUGAGCAACCUGCCCUUGACACUGGAAUAACAGUUGGAAACAGCUGCUAAUGCCAGAUAUGACCUUCGGUGGCAUCACCCGAAGGUGGAAAGUGCUUAGCGGUCAAGGAUGGGCUCGCGGCCUAUCAGCUUGUUGGUGAGGUAACGGCUCACCAAGGUAACGAUCCGUAGCCGGCCUGAGAGGGCGGUCGGCCACACUGACACUGACAUACGGGUCAGACUCCUACGGGAGGCAGCAGUCGGGAAUUUUGGGCAAUGGGCGAAAGCCUGACCCAGCAACGCCGCGUGAAGGAUGAAAUCCCUCGGGAUGUAAACUUCGCAAGAAUGGGAAGAAUGAACGAGCGCUAAUACCGUUCGUGAUGACGGUACCAUUUGUAAGCUCCGGCUAACUCCGUGCCAGCAGCCGCGGUAAUACGGGGGGAGCAAGCGUUGUUCGGAUUUACUGGGCGUAAAGGGCGCGUAGGCGGCCAGCGCAAGUCAGUUGUGAAAUCUCCGGGCUUAACUCGGAAAGGUCAACUGAUACUGCGCGGCUAGAGUGCGGAAGGGGCAACUGGAAUUCUCGGUGUAGCGGUGAAAUGCGUAGAUAUCGAGAGGAACACCUGCGGCGAAGGCGGGUUGCUGGGCCGACACUGACGCUGAGGCGCGAAAGCUAGGGGAGCGAACGGGAUUAGAUACCCCGGUAGUCCUAGCCUUAAACGAUGAAUGCUUGGUGUCUGGGGUUAUAUAGUCCCCGGGUGCCGUCGCUAACGCUUUAAGCAUUCCGCCUGGGGAGUACGGUCGCAAGACUGAAACUCAAAGGAAUGACGGAAGGCGAAUCGUACCCGUU
rnacentral:rRNA from 1 species